AGAAGAAGAGAGACAGAGAGGAGCUAUGAAUGCCUCAGAAGAAGAAGAGUCUGAAUGGGAACAUAAAAGCAUCUUGGAAGAAUGCACAACUCAGCAGAAUCUUAGCUGUCUCUUAAUUACGUUCUACACAUAUCACUACAGAGAGAAUUGGGAACGAAUCACGAUUUCAACUGGUGCAAGUUUUGAAUGGUCCUUGAAGCAUCAUUAAACCAAAAGUCUUUAAAAAAGAACUGUAUUGUACACUGGCCAAUGGACAAGUAAUGGGUUUGCAAAUAAAUCUACAUUUUAUAAUUAUUGCUCAA